GGGCCUGUAGCUCAGUUGGUUAGAGCUGACCGCUCAUAACGGUCUGGUCACAGGUUCGAGUCCUGUCGGGCCCACCA
rnacentral:tRNA from 1 species